rnacentral:rRNA from 1 species
GACGAACGCUGGCGGCGUGCUUAACACAUGCAAGUCGAACGGAAAGGCCCUGCUUUUGUGGGGUGCUCGAGUGGCGAACGGGUGAGUAACACGUGAGUAACCUGCCCUUGACUUUGGGAUAACUUCAGGAAACUGGGGCUAAUACCGGAUAGGAGCUCCUGCUUCAUUGUGGGGGUUGGAAAGUUUCGGCGGUUGGGGAUGGACUCGCGGCUUAUCAGCUUGUUGGUGGGGUAGUGGCUUACCAAGGCUUUGACGGGUAGCCGGCCUGAGAGGGUGACCGGCCACAUUGGGACUGAGAUACGGCCCAGACUCCUACGGGAGGCAGCAGUGGGGAAUAUUGCACAAUGGGCGGAAGCCUGAUGCAGCAACGCCGCGUGCGGGAUGACGGCCUUCGGGUUGUAAACCGCUUUCGCCUGUGACGAAGCGUGAGUGACGGUAAUGGGUAAAGAAGCACCGGCUAACUACGUG